ensembl:lncRNA
CCAGGAACCACAAUGUUCCAAGACAGAUGACUCAAUCCUUUUAAACCAGUUUGAGCUAAUGAGAACGUGAGCUACAAAGUUGUUUUUUUUAUUGUGUGGCUAUGUGUACCGUGGGUCUCUAAGCUAUCAAACAACAACACUAUUCAACAUCUGACUCAGAGGUUGCAGGAUGAGUUUUUUUUUUUUUACAAAGCAACGGUUUCACCCUGGGAUGGUAAGAGACAGCAAAGUGGAGCAACUCCUUUUGAACCGCUUCUGCUGAGGCAGUCUCUCUUCUUCUUUUUUUUUUUUUUUUUUUUACAAAGCAACGGUUUCACCCUGGGAUGGUAAGAGACAGCAAAGUGGAGCAACUCCUUUUGAACCGCUUCUGCUGAGGCAGUCUCUCUUCUUCUCUUGUUUUUUUUUUUUUUUUUACAAAGCAACGGUUUCACCCUGGGAUGGUAAGAGACAGCAAAGUGGAGCAACUCCUUUUGAACCGCUUCUGCUGAGGCAGUCUCUCUUCUUCUCUUGUUUUUUUAUUUUUUUUUACAAAGCAACGGUUUCACCCUGGGAUGGUAAGAGACAGCAAAGUGGAGCAACUCCUUUUGAACCGCUUCUGCUGAGGCAGUCUCUCUUCUUCUCUUGUUUUUUAAUUUUUUUUUACAAAGCAACGGUUUCACCCUGGGAUGGUAAGAGACAGCAAAGUGGAGCAACUCCUUUUGAACCGCUUCUGCUGAGGCAGUCUCUCUUCUUCUCUUGUUUUUUUAUUUUUUUUACAAAGCAACAGUUUCACCCUGGGAUGGUAAGAGACAGCAAAGUGGAGCAACUCCUUUUGAACCGCUUCUGCUGAGGCAGUCUCUCUUCUUCUCUUGUUUUUUCUCCCCCGACACAAAUAAUUCAUUUGUUGUGAAAGCAGAUGACUGUACAGUGACUCUUGCUUUUAUGAGGUGAGGUGUCCUGCCCACUAUCUCUGCGGGGCGCAAGGAAUGAAGCUCCUAAUAAAACAAUCAUGAACGUACCACAGAAUAUAUCCUGCUGUUAUGCUAGUAUGCUUUCCUCUGGUUCGCCCUCAAAUGCAGGUGAUGCAAAGUCAGAAAGUUGCCUUGGAAAGUGAGACGUGAACUACAGUUGUGUGUAAGGAAUAGAUCUCAGGUUCUCACGGGUCUUGUUUCUAUGUUUGUUAAGAUAGCCGACAUCAAGUGGAUAGGCAUCAAAGUUAUAGCUAGCUUCUGUGAAGACCCACGGCCAUUCUUUUGAAUGGAAGUGCCAGUGCUGGAAGUUGCCCUAAAGACAUAAGAGCUGAGCUCCUCUUGAAAAUGGCACUCAUUUGGGCCCCAUGGGGGAUAGCUACAGCUUAAUAUAGUUUAAAUUCUGCCUGGCAAAUUUUUCACUACUAAUUAUUUAUUCAUCUUCCAUGUGGACAGACUAUCAUUUGGAGCUUUUAAACUGUGUGACACUGCUUGAGUCUUU